GAUGAAGAACGUAGCGAAAUGCGAUAAGUAAUGUGAAUUGCAGAAUUCAGUGAAUCAUCGAAUCUUUGAACGCACAUUGCGCCCGCCAGUAUUCUGGCGGGCAUGCCUGUUCGAGCGUCAUUUCAACCAUCAAGCCCCCGGCUUGUGUUGGGGACCUGCGGCUGCCGCAGGCCCUGAAAACCAGUGGCGGGCUCGCUGUCACACCGAGCGUAGUAGAUUUUCAUCUCGCUCAGGGCGUGCUGCGGGUUCCGGCCGUAAAAAGCCUUAUUUACCCAAGGUUGACCUCGGAUCAGGUAGGAAGACCCGCUGAACUUAAGCAUAUCAAUAAGCGGGAGGA
rnacentral:misc_RNA from 1 species